AUUGAACGCUGGCGGCAUGCCUUACACAUGCAAGUCGAACGGCAGCACGGGUGCUUGCCCCUGGUGGCGAGUGGCGAACGGGUGAGUAAUACAUCGGAACAUGUCCUGUAGUGGGGGAUAGCCCGGCGAAAGCCGGAUUAAUACCGCAUACGAUCUACGGAUGAAAGCGGGGGACCUUCGGGCCUCGCGCUAUAGGGUUGGCCGAUGGCUGAUUAGCUAGUUGGUGGGGUAAAGGCCUACCAAGGCGACGUUCAGUAGCUGGUCUGAGAGGACGACCAGCCACACUGGGACUGAGACACGGCCCAGACUCCUACGGGAGGCAGCAGUGGGGAAUUUUGGACAAUGGGCGAAAGCCUGAUCCAGCAAUGCCGCGUGUGUGAAGAAGGCCUUCGGGUUGUAAAGCACUUUUGUCCGGAAAGAAAUCCUUGGCUCUAAUACAGUCGGGGGAUGACGGUACCGGAAGAAUAAGCACCGGCUAACUACGUG
rnacentral:rRNA from 1 species